AGCCUCUCUGAAACCAUUCCCACCUGCAACCCCAGCUAGUGGAGAAGGAAAAAACUAUUACAAGUUAGAGCCUCCGUUUGGACUAAAGGUGGAGCAUUUCAACACUGUGCAACAUGCUGUAUCAUGCAACCUUCAGGAUCAAGGCGUCCAGGAUGCAGCUAUUUCUUUAGGUUCAGGAUCAGAAUAAGCCUUCCUUUGCAAAUGUGUCUGCUAGCGAUUGGCUGGCUCCAAGGGAGACAGGGAGGAGGAGGAAGCAGAAGAGAAUUACAAGGUUUCAGAUUCCUGUAAACAGAGAAACAUUUUUCCAGUCAUCAGACUCCACGUCCAGUGGAAAUGGAGCUUCAAUUUCCCCUAGUUAACACAGAGGAUCUGGUGGCUGUGCUGUUGACAUACCCCCUUCUUCUCUAGCAAUUGCUGUAUGCUGUUUAGUCUGCUGCUGAUUCAGAAACCUUGUCUCUGGGCAGUCAUUGCUGUGGUUUCCUUCUCCUUUAUUUUCCAAGUGUGGCUGGCUUCCAGCCCAGGAGCAGGUGUCUAAGCUCUGGGGGAGGGGCAUGACAGCACUGACUUUCUCUCUCCAAACCCUGGAUCCGAACUCUGCCAAACUUGAUAAAAUUCAGAUGUGAACUUACGAAUUCAGGCUAAAUUCUGAUAAAGAGCAACAUAAAUUUCCCUUCAUCCCACUCCCUGCCCCGUCCUGAGAUACAUCUCCGUGUUUUCUAGUACGCCAUCUGAUUGUCUGUAUGCACCUGUUGUCUUUGGCCUUAUACUUUUGUAAACUCUUUUGAGCAGGGUUCUGUGUUUGUACAGCACCCAGCACCAUGAGGCAGGAGCAGUACAAGCUCCCUAAAAGUGUGGGGGGCGUGUCGGCGCCCGAACCAUGCUCCAACCCCCAUGCUGCCCCUUCCCCACACCACCCUUCCCCCCCAAGGCCCCAUCCUCACAUUACCCCUUCUCCUCGAGUGCCACACACCCCCACGCCGCCCCUUCCACUGAGGCCCUGCUCCCAUGCCACCUCUUCCCCUCAAAAUCCCACACCUUGUUCACUCCUCCCCGCCCCCACUCUCCCAUCACUCACUCUUAUGGCUGGUAAAAAAUGAGAGGGCAUAACCCUCCCACUUUUAAAAGUGAUGAGGCCAUGACCCCCAGGUCCCCCUGGAGCACCCCUGCAAUGGGGCCCUGGGCCAUGACUGGGACUCCUAGGAGCUACUGCAAUACAAAUAAAUAAAUAUUAGGAUAUGGCAGGAUCACCACUGCCAAUGACUGACAUUUUCCAUUAACCCAAUCAGUGUUAAUACCUUUAUGCGUAUGGAUACACACAGCUUGAUUC